rnacentral:rRNA from 1 species
UACGUAGGCAGCAAGCGUUGUUCGGAAUUACUGGGCGUAAAGAGUGUGUAGGCGGUGCUCCAAGUCUGGUGUGAAAUCUCCCGGCUCAACUGGGAGGGUGCGCUAGAAACUGGAAUGCUAGAGGAUGGGAGAGGUAAGCGGAAUUCCUGGUGUAGCGGUGGAAUGCGCAGAUAUCAGGAGGAACACCGAUGGCGAAGGCAGCUCGCUGGGACGGUACUGACGCUGAGGCGCGAAAGCGUGGGGGAGCGAACAGG